UGUGAAUGUUUUCUUUGCUGGCAGUGGUCUGACCAGGUUUGUUUGUGUUUUUACAAUGGAUAAGCUCUGGGUCACUGCAUGGAUCCACAUGGCACCAUGUCUCCUUGUAGUUACACUGAGACCGCUGUGGAGGAUGGCACUUUGUAACUCAAAGCUGGGAGAAGGGAUCACCUCAGGCCUCACCUGGAGUAUUGUGUCCAGUUCUGGGCUCCCCGGUACAAAAAAGACAAGGAUCUCCUGGAGAGAGUCCAGCAGAGGGCCACAAAGAUGAUAAAGAGCCAGGAACAUCUCCACUGUGAGGAAAGGUUGAGUAAACCUCUGUUCAGCCUUGAGAAAAGAAGACUGAGAGGGGAUCUGAUUAAUGUUUAUAAAUAUCUUAAGUGUGGGAUUCAAAGGGACAUGGCCAACUUCUUUUCAGCAGUCUGUGGGGACAGGACAAGGGGAAAUGACCAUAAACUGCAGCAUAGGAAGUUCUGCACCAAUAUGCGAAGGAACUUCUUCACAGUAAGGGUGGCGGAGCACUGGAACAGGCUGCCCUCAGGGGCUGUGGAUUCUCCUCCUCUGGAGAUAUUCAAGACCCACCUGGCCACCUACCUGCUGUAGGGAUUCUGCUUUGCAGCUUUUCUUACAGCUUAUUGAAGCUUUUAUGGAACAACAUUCUUAGAAGCAGGAACUUCUUACAGCGUCCUUACAUUACAUUUUGAUUUUUCCUCAAGCCAAGUAAGUCUCCACCAAGAAUUUCAUUGCCAUUAGCCCAACUGCUCAAGUCCUGUUGCACCUACUUACAAUACUUUUGCUGACAUCUGGUCACCAUUCAUAUAAACCCUAUCUUACUGCUCUGUUCAACAUUAUCCUCAAACUCUGUGCAGAUACCAUGAUUGAAUAAUGUGGAAUGCAAACACAAGCCUAGUGCUUUGCUAAGAAUUCAUUGGGGCACCUUUGGGAGACAGCAUUCACUUGACUGUAAAACUCAUGGUCCCAUAAAUAAUUCUUUAUUCCCAGUUUCUAAGAUUUGAUGCUAAGUCUCUAUUAGAUAUGCUGUGCUCUGAAAGUUUGGUAUGUUGAACCUCACUGUCUU
rnacentral:lncRNA from 1 species